GCGGCUGGGACCCGAGACACCCCGGGACCCGGAGGCGCUGAGGAAGAAAGCUGCCUCGGCUGCCGCCCCCUUCUGCCGCGAGGGGAGCCGGAGCCCCAAUGUUGUGCCUCGGGAGGGGCGGGGGGCGGUCCCCCUCCCUUGGGACCUGCCCUUCGGCCGCCCGCCCCCCCUCCCCUGCGACCGUCGGGAUCCCUUCUGCACCUCCGGGCACUCGAGGACCCGAGUUUUGCGAAUCGCCAUCCUGUUUAGACGGGUGGAGGGAGAGUGGUGUAUAUAUACACCCAGCACGUGAGCUUGCAAGUCAGAUACCUGAAUACCUGUUAUGGGUGAGCGGUGGCUGAUUUUAAGAAAAGGGUCGCGACCCAGAGGUUGAGAACUGCUGGAUAGAUGAUUCAGUACUUCUUUAUAAGACCAUUAUGGGACUUGAAAAUAAACUUGGAAAACAUCCCAUAACAUAGUGUCCUUAAAUACCACUUCUACUUCUGCCUCAGAUCUGCAGAAUGAGGACGUUUAUUAAAGCUGGGACAGUGAAACAAGGAACGGCCUACGAUAGAAGCAACAGGAGAGACACUAUGCAAGGAAGUGAGCGUAGGCUGGGCUGCUGUGGCUCACUAAGGAGUCAGAGAAAAGGGGCCUUGGUGACAGGGGUAGGGGGUUAGCCUGGGGCCAGCUGCUGCUGCCCAUGCUUAUUUUCUGAAGUUUCACAUAAAUGUCAUACUGUUUUUGCUUAUUUUCUGAAGUGUCUUACAUAAAUGUCAUACUGUUUUUGCUUCAUGGAUGCAGUAUCUACUCAUCUGAGAAUGUCAGCAUUGGUUUUAAAAUGUUCAUCUCCUUGCAUAGUCUUUUUCUCCAACGUUGCUUUUCUCCUGUUCAUCGGUUUUGAUCUCUAAAGCUCACAUUUAGAGGCUCCUCUCAGAUGUCUGGUUAACCCUUGGCUGUCUGCUUAUGAUUAAGAGCAUAUUUGCAAGCCUUG